rnacentral:rRNA from 1 species
UACGAAGGGAACUAGCGUUGUUCGGAAUCACUGGGCGUAAAGCGCGCGUAGGCGGACAUUCAAGUCAGGGGUGAAAUCCCAAGGCUUAACCUUGGAAUUGCCUUUGAAACUGUAUGUCUGGAGUAUGUGAGGGGAUAGCGGAAUUCCGAAUGUAGCAGUGAAAUGCGUAGAUAUUCGGAGGAACACCGGUGGCGAAGGCGGCUAUCUGGCACAUUACUGACGCUGAGGUGCGAAAGCGUGGGGAUCAAACAGG